GAGAGAACCCUGAUGAUUAAGUCUGUAAACAUCUCAAAAGUUAACACAUAGUUUUCCUUUUAUACAGAGGAGUAAAAAAGCUAGAAAGCAAUCAGUGUAAGUAAGGGAUGAGAUGGGUGGUGCAGUCCCAAAGUAGAUGAGAAGGCUCUACCCAGGGCCAGUCUGGUCCAAGGAAGGGUGAGCUGCUGCUGGCUCCGGCUGGUCUAGUUUCUUCAGAGGCCUAGAAGAAGGAGAGAAGCCAAACCAGUUUGGCCAACAAGAAUUUUGUUCCAGCUGAUCACUGGGGGCAAGCAGUUAAGCCAAUUAUUCUUAAAUAUUUUUAUUACUGCCUAUUAAUUUUAAAAAAACAUUGGGUUUCAAUGUGUGUAGUUUGAUCGUAUCCAUUCUCUGUAUUACCCUCCCUUACACCCACCCUAUUCCCUUCCUUUUUUGGUACCGGGGAUCAAACUCAGGACCUUGGGCUUUCAAGGCAGGUGCAGUGCCACUGAGCUAAAUCCCCAGUGCUAGUCCCUUCUAACAAGAAUCCGCCUUCUACUUUCAUGUUCUCUUUUCAGAUUCCAUAAAUAGGGGAGAAAAUGUGCUGCUUGUCUUUCUAAAAAAGGUGUAAUAAAACAAGCAGAUGGUGGGUUAGAAGGGGACAGGGUCUUGCUAUACAACCCAGGCUGGCCCUGAACUCCAGAGAUUCUCUUUGCUUCAGCCUCCCAAGUGCUGGGAUUACAG
rnacentral:lncRNA from 1 species